UAUAACCCACAUCAUGUAGAAAUACACACCUGUAUACACACUGCAGACCCUCCCCCAACACCAAAUGGUGAUUCACUCAGCUACUGAUACCAGCUUAUCUGAGCACAAAGUCCAAUCUGCAAGCAAACAGUAACGGCUGUGUACCUGGGACAGGAAUAUAUAGAACCAAGGGGCCACCUGUGAUCAUUGGGGUCCUUUUGCAAAAUACAAGUAUAGUAUCCCGAGUGUUAAUUAAGAUUAAUGAUCCACUUAGCCUCCAAGUAUACAGAUUGUCUGAAUCAUUACUGUACAAAAACAGGCUUCUAUAUUAGAAUAUAGGCUCGUGGCUUAAGUGACAGGGUGAAUUAGGUGCUGGGUGAUACAGAUUUACUACAGGUUAUAAUCAGAUAUACAAGGCUGAUAGUGUCCUGGGUGGGUCAAACCUACCACCCAUGUUAAUUUUCACAUUCGCUUAUCCACUUCUCUCUCUGGGCACAGGUGAUGCCCCUCAACCCCUUUUAUCCAUUCUUAGAGGUCAUUUCUAAGGGCGUUUUCACCUCCCUUUUGUUCCGUGAACAAUAAGUAACCCAGUUAGUUAGUUAUCAACUCAGAGGAAACAAGAGGCUGGUUGAUAAUUUAUAGCGCCUUAACCAAUUUAAAUGGAAAGUUCAUAUGAAGAGAUUUCUAUCUCGGUAGAUCCAAAACGGCCAGACAUCAUCUCUUAGCACAGUCUGUUUCUGUUGGCGAUGUGGAGCUGAACUACAAUAUUUUUUCUGCUGUGCCAGACAGAAAAGGGAUCACAAAUGGAGUAAUGCUAGGAGUGCAGGCUUGACAUGGAGAGAGCAAGAGCUACACACCCACAUCACAGGGAUUGUAAUACGACUUCAAAGCCAAAAAGAAGGAAGGGUCAUCACAAACAAGAAUGAAAGAUAUUUUUUCUUCAAGUCAUGUCAUUUUAAAGACAGCAAUUUACCUAUGGACCUAUUGCGUGCCUUGCUUACUAUUUGGUUAUGUACUAUGACUUUUAUUAAAUAUAUAGACAAACAAUAUUAUAUAUGUUAGUGAUCACAAAUCCAUUGCUAUAAUUGUCGUACUUGCCACCCUAAACUUUAUAUAAGUGUAGGAGUAACAUAUCAUAGUCUGGAUAUAUGUGAUUUAAUAAGAACAGAAAAUAUUGGAAGGACAAGAGAAGUCAGACUGGGAAAAAAAAAAGCGUACAGGUAAGUUAAAAACAAACAACUGUGAAUGUGGAGUAAAUCAGAAAGUUUUAUAAAGAGUAUAUAGAAAAGGACAGUGUACAAGGUUCUUACUGCAGCAAUCGUUCCACCACAGCCUUCUGAUGGGCAGCCUCCUCCGGGCUUAGUCUCUCCAAAUCCUUUAUAAUCGGUGGCGUAAAGUCCCCACCAUCUUCAGAACUGUCAUCUUCCGUUACAAGGGGUUCCGUAAGACCAUUGGGUAGCUGCACACAAUGAUCCCCAUCUUCCAGGCUACUUAGGUCAUCCAGGGGAUCCCUGGGAUACUGGUAACCAUCGCCAUCACUCAAGGCUCUGGUAAUAGUCUCUUUAGUGACACCUGACUCUAGCAAUGCCCUUAGUAGCUCCUGCUGCAAGUAGCUAAGCUGAGACGCCAUCCUCGCUGUUACCUGCUACCAGUUCACCAUCCUGCGGUUAGAAUAGGGAUCAGCAGGCGGGAGCCCAUGCUCUACCCACCUUCUGUCUCCUCCUCCCCCCAAAAAUGCUUUCUGUGCGGCCACAACCUGUAUGUAGUCACCCCCUGGACAGUCUUCAGUGAGACAUAGCAGAUAAGGGACCCUUGUCUCUCUCUGUUUACAUCAGAGCAGAACAAAUCCUCCAAGGUUCAUAUUUAUCCCUGUGCUUCACAAGUUACUGAACUUUGGACCCCCAACUCUGCACAAAGUGCAUGUGUGAGAGGGGAGGGAGAGUAAGGGAAGAGCUAGUAAGAGGAAAUAAAGAAAUGAAUGUUAGGAAUGACUAGAGAGUAAAGAAGACGAGAGUCAACAGCAAAGGGAUAUUAGAGAAUAAAUAUAUACACGAUCGUAAGUAUGCAGUGGGGCGUGUCUAAAGAGCAUACAUGUUCCCACCACCUAAAACGAAAGAUGACAAAAGCCAAUACCGUACCAAAGGAUCUAAAUCAGUGUGAAACAAAUGUCACUUAAAAAGGGUCUUUCUACAGUACGACUUGCAGCCAUACAAUUGGGUAGAGGAAAUAACAAGCUAGCCUUUAUGGUGCUAUGAAUUCAGAUGUCCGAUAAUUACCUUUUGUACAAUUUUAUUAAUCAAAAUUUUAAUAUAAAGAUAUUCAAUUUGAAUAAAAUGUUUUGCAUUUUUAGAAAUGGAGAGAGACAAUGGUUAAAGCAUUAAGGAACCUAUUUAGAAAAUAAAAAACAAACUUUUACAACCCCUUUAAGAUUGCAUAGUGCUUAUUCCACUUACAUUUAAGUCAAGUGAACUACUUACAAAAAGUAACAAUGUAAUUCCUUUCGAAAACAACUGCCAAUGAAAGGUGACAAAACUGACACACGUCAUAAAUAAUAUAAUUACAAUUAUUAUUUUCCCUACUGUGGUUUGCAGUCCAAUUUCAUUUUGUAAAUACCUAUUAUUAAUCAAAUAAAUAAAAUUCAAUUCAA